AUUGAACGCUGGCGGCAGGCCUAACACAUGCAAGUCGAGCGGUAACACAGGGAGCUUGCUCCUGGGUGACGAGCGGCGGACGGGUGAGUAAUGUCUGGGAAACUGCCUGAUGGAGGGGGAUAACUACUGGAAACGGUAGCUAAUACCGCAUAACGUCGCAAGACCAAAGAGGGGGACCUUCGGGCCUCUUGCCAUCAGAUGUGCCCAGAUGGGAUUAGCUAGUAGGUGGGGUAACGGCUCACCUAGGCGACGAUCCCUAGCUGGUCUGAGAGGAUGGACAACCACACUGGAACUGAGACACGGUCCAGACUCCUACGGGAGGCAGCAGUGGGGAAUAUUGCACAAUGGGCGCAAGCCUGAUGCAGCCAUGCCGCGUGUAUGAAGAAGGCCUUCGGGUUGUAAAGUACUUUCAGCGGGGAGGAAGGCGAUAAGGUUAAUAACCUUGUCGAUUGACGUUACCCGCAGAAGAAGCACCGGCUAACUCCGUGCCAGCAGCCGCGGUAA
rnacentral:rRNA from 1 species